UACGGGGGGGGCAAGCGUUGUUCGGAAUUACUGGGCGUAAAGGGCUCGUAGGUGGCCAACUAAGUCAGACGUGAAAUCCCUCGGCUUAACCGGGGAACUGCGUCUGAUACUGGAUGGCUUGAGGUUGGGAGAGGGAUGCGGAAUUCCAGGUGUAGCGGUGAAAUGCGUAGAUAUCUGGAGGAACACCGGUGGCGAAGGCGGCAUCCUGGACCAACACUGACACUGAGGAGCGAAAGCCAGGGGAGCAAACAGG
rnacentral:rRNA from 1 species